UGGAGUUGGCUUGUUGUAUUGGUGGUGAAGUUUGUUCUACGCUUUGUCGGCCUUAUUCUUUCAUUUCUUCGCAACUCUCCGAGCUGAAAAGAGGUUUUCUGGAAACUUUAACCACAUCACAACUUCGCGUUACUUCUAUCCAGCCUCACCGUGCCGGCAAAGACGAUCGGUGUAAUAUUCUCCGUGGCGUAAGAUAAUGGCGUACCAGACCAAGGCUGCCGAAAACAUUCUACUCUACCAAUCUGAUACAUUUUGUUGCCGUACCAUGGAGCGCCCUGCUACGAAAGCAGGCGGCCUUCUCGUAUGGCAACAAAAUUAUCAGAAAUUUAAGUGGUUGUUUCAUGAUGAUGAUCCACAUUACUUUAAGGCGCACGCAUACUGUUGAACAUACGGAGAAUUCGAGGGAAAAUGAACUUGAUUUGGAACUAUACUGAGACAUGUGAAAUAUGAAAUGAAAUUGUGAACAGCUGCAUUUCGACGAUAGAGUGAAGCAGAAAUACAAGAAUUAAGAACCGAA